rnacentral:rRNA from 1 species
AGUGAACGCUGGCGGCGUGCUUAACACAUGCAAGUCGAACGAGAACGGAUUAUAGCUUGCUAUAAUUGUCAGCUAAGUGGCGCACGGGUGAGUAAUGUAUAGGUAAUAUGCCUCUUACUAAGGGAUAACAAAUGGAAACGUUUGCUAAUACCUUAUACUCCUUAUUAACAUAAGUUAAUAAGGGAAAGAUUUAUUGGUAAGAGAUUAGCCUGUAUUGUAUCAGUUAGUUGGUGGGGUAAUGGCCUACCAAGACUAUGACACAUAACUGGUUUGAGAGGAUGAUCAGUCACACUGGAACUGAGACACGGUCCAGACUCCUACGGGAGGCAGCAGUGGGGAAUAUUGCACAAUGGACGGAAGUCUGAUGCAGCAACGCCGCGUGGAGGAUGACACAUUUCGGUGCGUAAACUCCUUUUAUAUGAGAAGAUAAUGACGGUAUUAUAUGAAUAAGCACCGGCUAACUCCGUGCCAGCAGCCGCUGUAACAC